rnacentral:snRNA from 1 species
GGAUGUGAGGGCAAUCUGGCUGCAACAUCUGUCACCCCAUGUGUCACCAGGGUUAAUUUGGCUGACGUGGCUGUUUAGGUAGUGUCUCCUGCCUCCCUCACCUCCCC